ensembl:lncRNA
GUUGGUAGGGACAUCUGAGAAUAUAUGAUGAGUACCAACAUCUCUGAUGUGCAUGGUUCUGCCUGCAAUAUUUUGUUUAAUGUAACUUGCAAAGCCUUUGAGUGUUUCGCUCUCUCUCUGUCUCUUUCUCCAGUAUCCGGGGUAUUGAUUGAUUGAACGCGCGAGACGACUGGACUCUGGAGCGGAUCUGGAGAAGUGUGUCCAAGGAAUGUGGUGUGACUCUGGAACACCGUGUCAAAGGAACAUGUGCAGUGAAGUUGAUUUGAAAGGUUGUUUUAGAUCCUGGCACGAGCGAUGAAGAUGCCAUCAGCUGAGCACGCAUGAGUUCUGCAGGGGUGCAAGCAUCUCUGAAUGAGUUCUACAGGGGUGGAAGUGUUUACUUUAAUUCUGGCUGUGGAAAGAUCAGCAGCUGUCUGAAUGUUCUUCAGGGCAUGUGCUCAUUGACAGGUGCGGUGGUGACUGCUCCUUCAUGCUGUGUGAAUAUGAAUGCGGCAUGCACUUGUAAAGGAAGCACAAUAUCCAGGACGGCUCUGGAAAAACCAGAUUGUAUAAGGUGUGUUGCCUGCAUCCGACUCUUCUGAACUAUAUUCCAGAGCUUCGGUUCUUGUAUUGUUUUCUGAUUUGAAGUCACUUGUCUCUUUGCAGCAAUUAAGUGACAUUUAAAUGCCGUCAUCUACAUUUGUUAUAACUAGGCCAAGUUUGUAAAGUGUC